rnacentral:rRNA from 1 species
CCUACGGGAGGCAGCAGUGAGGAAUAUUGGUCAAUGGGCGUAAGCCUGAACCAGCCAAGUCGCGUGAGGGAUGAAGGUUCUAUGGAUCGUAAACCUCUUUUAUAAGGGAAUAGAGGGUGGGACGUGUCCUAUUUUGUAUGUACCUUAUGAAUAAGGAUCGGCUAACGCCGUGCCAGCAGCCGCGGUAAUACGGAGGAUCCGAGCGUUAUCCGGAUUUAUUGGGUUUAAAGGGUGCGUAGGCGGCCGUUUAAGUCAGCGGUGAAAGUCUGUGGCUCAACCAUAGAAUUGCCGUUGAAACUGGGGGGCUUGAGUAUGUUUGAGGCAGGCGGAAUGCGUGGUGUAGCGGUGAAAUGCUUAGAUAUCACGCAGAACCCCGAUUGCGAAGGCAGCCUGCCAGGCCAUGACUGACGCUGAUGCACGAAAGCGUGGGGAUCAAACAGGAUUAGAUACCCUUGUAGUC